CUACGGGUCGCACCAGUGAGGAAUUUUGCGCAAUGGGGGAAAACCCUGACGCAGCAACGCCGCGUGAGCGAAGAAGGCCCUCGGGUCGUAAAGCUCUGUCAAGUGGGAAAAAAAUUUUUUGAUCAAUAGUCAAAAGACUUGAUGGUACCACUGGAGGAAGCACCGGCUAACUCCGUGCCAGCAGCCGCGGUAAUACGGAGGGUGCGAGCGUUGUUCGGAUUUACUGGGCGUAAAGAGCGUGUAGGCGGUUUAGCAAGUCAGAUGUGAAAGCCCUGGGCUCAACCCGGGAAGUGCAUUUGAAACUGCUUCACUAGAGUAUGGGAGAGGAGAUUGGAAUUCCUGGUGUAGAGGUGAAAUUCGUAGAUAUCAGGAGGAACACCCGUGGCGAAGGCGAUUCUCUGGACCAAUACUGACGCUGAGACGCGAAAGCGUGGGGAGCAAACAGGAUUAGAUACCCCUGUAGUC
rnacentral:rRNA from 1 species